rnacentral:lncRNA from 1 species
UUUUUUUUUUUUUUUUUUUUUGAGAUGGAGUCUCGCUCUGUUGCCAAGGCUGGAGUGCAGUGGCGCAAUCACAGUUCACUACAACCUCCAUCUCCCCAGUUCAAGUGAUUCUCCUACCUCAGUCUCCCAAGUAGCUGGGAUUACAGGCAUGCACCACCAUGCCUGGCUAAUAUUUCUGUAUUUUUUUAGUAGAGACGGGAUUUUACCAUGUUGGUUCAGGCUGGUCUUGAACUCCUGAACUCAAAUGAUCCACCUGCCUCAGCUUCCCAAAGUGCUGGGAUUACAGGCAUGAGCCAUCACGCCUGGCCUAGCCUAUACUAUUUUGGAAUAACAAAGUUCUUCCAUCUGUAGAUAGAACGUUUGUCCUACAAACAGCUCAUCUAAAACAGUCCGACAUCACAUAACAAUGAUAAAAUAAGGAGAGAGGGCCAACCCAUGAUCCCCUCCUCCACAUCCACUGCCUCCCAGAAAAGCUUUCCCUGAUGUGACUUGAUAGGAUGGUCUCAGCUCAGGCUGCGGAUGCUGUUCAAUCCACCAAAACAACGGCCCCAGGCAGGACAUCUUACAUGUUUGUAUACCCCAGGUUCCGAUUCCACAGGAGGGACGGGCUCUGCUCACGUCAAAAACAUUAAAAUGCACCCAGCCUCCCACAUUCAAUCGUUUCCGUUUAAACAUUUCAAAUGAACUGUAUCACUCUGCUUUUCAAACAAUUAUUUAUUUUGCCCAGUUUUUGGUUGUUCAAAUUUUUGUUUGUUUGUUUGGGGACAGAGUCUCACUGUGUCACCCAGGCUGGAGUGCAGUGGUGCCAUCUCAGCUCACCGCAGCCUUGACCUCCUGGGCUCAAGUGAUCCUCCCCACUCAGCCUCCUGAGUAGCUGAGACUACAGGUGCACACUACCAUACCCAACUAAUUUUUUGUGGUUUUUUUUGUAGAGGCAGGGUCUUACUAUGUGGUGCAGGCUGGUCUUGAACUCCCUGGCUCAAGUGAUCCUCCCAUUUCGGCCUCCCAAAGUGCUGGGAUGACAGGCAUGUGCCAAUAUGCCUGGUCUGUUGUUCGAAUUUUGGAUCCAAGAAUAUUUUCUCAGGUCUCAAACAUUUUUGAGAUCCUUGAAAAUCUUGGUGAUUCCAUGCAUUGCUGCUAUCCCUAGUACCCAUCGGAUAAAUCAGUCCUACCCUGUGAAGCUCACUGCAGGGUUUACUUGUGAGGAAAACAUUGAGGACAGCGUUUGUUCUACUAAGCAGUGUCCUCUCUGUGUGGACCUUGAGUUCCUUGAGCACAAGGGCUGUGUGGUCUUUCUCACCCCCAGGUCCCCACACCAAGAGCCUGGCCUGGCAUGCAACUGUUUAAUGUUCAACUAGUGGUAAUGCCUAAACUGGACUUCUGUGCGCUGUCUGAAAAUCACCCUUCCUAGGGCAUGUUGACCCCAUUCCCCAAUCCAGGAACACAGGCCACCACUCUUUCAUAUCUUUGAGCAAAUUAGAAAAAAAAAAUGCCUCCCCUGGGCUGUUACACUCCACUAGGAAAUCCUUCCCUGGGGCUUACUCACGCCUUCCACGUCUUUCCACAGAGUUGGAGUCCACCCCUCACCCUUACCAGGCCCACACACGUGCAGGCACACAUCCACACAUGGCAGGCUGUGUGCACACAGACGAUUCCCUCGCCUUUAUAGGUGCUAUUCCUUUGACUUGAAAAUCCCAUCAAUUCUAAUCUGCACAUACAAACUUCAGCGCCCAGCCCAAAUAUCACUUUCUUUGUGACUCCUCCCCCUACACCUCUCAGGCAGAUUGCAUCGCGUCCUCCUUUUUAUUCCCAUCACGGUGGAAGGUACCCCUAUUUGAGUCUUGCCAGGUUGCAUCAAAUUUCUUUCUUCCAGGUUUGGUUCCCU